rnacentral:rRNA from 1 species
CUAGAAACCCAAAGAAUUUGGCGGUAUUUUAUUCUUUUUAGAGGAACCUGUCCUGUAAUUGAUAGUCCACGAUAAAAAUUACUUGUUUUUGUUCUCAUUUUGUAUACCUCCGUCAUCAGAAUAUCUUUUUAGGGAUAAAUAUUCUUAAUAUACAAAUUAUGAAAUGUCAGGUCAAGGUGCAAUUUAUAAGCAAGUAGAGAUGGGUUACAAUAAAUUUAUUUAGACGAAUCAUUUAUUUUAAUGUAAAUAUGAAGUUGGAUUUAAAAGUAAAAUUAUUUUAUUUAUUAAUUUGACUCUAGCUCUAAAAUAUGCACACAUCGCCCGUCGCUCUUAUUUUAAAAUAAGAUAAGUCGUAACAUAGUAGGUGUACCGGAAGGUGUUCCUAGAA